GGGUUGUGAGGUUAAGCGACUAAGCGUACACGGUGGAUGCCCUGGCAGUCAGAGGCGAUGAAGGACGUGCUAAUCUGCGAAAAGCGCCGGCGAGGUGAUAUGAACCCUUGACCCGGCGAUGUCCGAAUGGGGAAACCCAGUGCAAUUCGUUGCACUAUCGUUAACUGAAUACAUAGGUUAACGAGGCGAACCGGGGGAACUGAAACA
rnacentral:rRNA from 1 species